rnacentral:rRNA from 1 species
CAGUAGCCGCGGUAAUACAGAGGAUGCAAGCGUUAUCCGGAAUGAUUGGGCGUAAAGUGUCUGUAGGUGGCUUUUCAAGUCCGCCGUCAAAUCCCAGGGCUCAACCCUGGACAGGUGGUGGAAACUACCAAGCUGGAGUAUGGUAGGGGCAGAGGGAAUUUCCGAUGGAGCGGUGAAAUGCAUUGAGAUCGGAAAGAACACCAACGGCGAAAGCACUCUACUGGGCCGACAUUGACACUGAGAGACGAAAGGUAGGGGAGCAAAUGGGAUUAGAUACCCGGGUAGUCCCUGUCUCUUAUAC